rnacentral:tRNA from 1 species
GGGGGUGUGGCUCAAUGGUAGAGCACUCACCUAGCAUGUGCGAGGCCCUGGGUUCGAUCCUCAGCACCACAU